UCAGAUGCUUAGCCAACUAUACCACCCAGGUGCCCCCAGAAUUCUUAACCAGAUCCCUGGAUUGCAAUUUACUUAACUGAAGAGUAUAGAGGGUGUAGCAAAUUCGGUUAAGCGCUUGACAAGCUCACUUUGGAGAUGUACUGAACUUGAAACACCUGUAGAGAAUUCAGGCAAAGUCCAGAAGGUAAUUGGCUAUAAAAAAGUGGGUUAAAACUAUGGGUUUUAAAAGGAUGACCCUUUAUAACAAAAUAUCACUUCUGGAAAUUUUCUUUCUCUCUUUUUUUUUUAAAAGAUUUUAUUUAUUUAUUUGAGAGAGAGAGCAUGCGCAAGAGAGCACAAGCAGGGGAGAGGGCUGUUCGAUGGGCACAGAUGGCCACAGAUUCCAUUGAUCAGCAACAGGACCAAACCCCCAGUUAGCAGAUUAAACAGCCCCCUGCAUCAGAAACCAGCAAAGACCGCAGACCAACAUGAAGAUCCAGAGCUUCUCACCUCCUGCCAUGAUGUUAUGUGAGCUCCCGGCAAACCGCCAUUUUGAAGGAGGAAGACCGAGAAGAGGAAAAGAGCUCUGGGGAGGAACCAUUCUAAUCACUUCUCCAGAUAAAAGGAUUCCUCCAGCCAGUGGGGAAAGAGCGAAAAAGGAAAGUACAUUAAUCCCCCAUUGACAACAGCCUGCGUACUCCUUGAUGGGCAAAGCCCUACCAAUGUCUCUGAAACAAGAUGAGCCCUCAGUAAAGUAUGCUGAGUUCAGCCUGAGCAUUUCCAAUGGUGAGGUGCCUUGCCCAGUUUGGCUGUGAAGAGAAGCAGGGUGGUGGGGUGUCUGGAUCAGUGCCACUGAAGACACAUCCUGCAGAGCUUCUAUCCACGUGGAGGAAGCCAUACAGUGUCAGUCCAAAGCCAAUAGCAAAAUCAACAAAGGAAGAAGGGAGGAUCAGAACCAGACUCCACAAUGGGUCAUCCUGUGCACGUCGUUACCAGAAUAGGUAGGUUUUUGGUUUGCAAAGGGGGGCAGGCAGAAGAGGAAUGGAAAGGAGGAAAUAUUUCUGUCUAAUGCAUUGAUUUUUGAAUACAUUUUUCUUAUAAGUAAAUACUCAGAAAUCUAGGAAAAUCUUAAAAGUAAAAUAAGG